AUGGAGCAAGCGUUAUCCGGAUUUACUGGGUGUAAAGGGAGCGCAGGCGGCGGUGCAAGUCUGAUGUGAAAACCCGGGGCCCAACCCCGGGACUGCAUUGGAAACUGCAUGGCUAGAGUGUCGGAGAGGUAAGUGGAAUUCCUAGUGUAGCGGUGAAAUGCGUAGAUAUUAGGAGGAACACCAGUGGCGAAGGCGGCUUACUGGACGAUAACUGACGCUGAGGCUCGAAAGCGUGGGGAACAA
rnacentral:rRNA from 1 species